rnacentral:rRNA from 1 species
CAUGCAAGUCGAACGGGGUAGCAAUACCUAGUGGCAGACGGGUGAGUAACAUGUGGGUACCUUCCCUUUGGUGAGGAAUAACACGAGGAAACUUGUGCUAAUACCUCAUAAGUCUUUACGGAGAAAGCUUUAUGCGCCAAUGGAUGGGCCCGCACUUGAUUAGUUUGUUGGUGGGGUAAUGGCCUACCAAGACUUUGAUCAAUAGCUGAUUUGAGAGGAUGAUCAGCCACAUUGGGACUGAGACACGGCCCAAACUCCUACGGGAGGCAGCAGUAGGGAAUCUUGCACAAUGGAGGAAACUCUGAUGCAGCGAUGCCGCGUGAGUGAAGAAGGCCUUUGGGUUGUAAAGCUCUUUCGUCGGGGAAGAAAAUGACUGUACCCGAAUAAGAAGGUCCGGCUAACUUCGUGCCAGCAGCCGCGGUAAUACGAAGGGACCUAGCGUAGUUCGGAAUUACUGGGCUUAAAGAGUUCGUAGGUGGUUAAAAAAGUUGGUGGUGAAAUCCCAGAGCUUAACUCUGGAACUGCCAUCAAAACUUUUUAGCUAGAGUAUGAUAGAGGAAAGCAGAAUUUCUAGUGUAGAGGUGAAAUUCGUAGAUAUUA